rnacentral:rRNA from 1 species
GUGUCAGCAGCCGCGGUAACACCAGCGCCACGAGUGGCGAUCGCGAUUAUUGGGCCUAAAGCGUCCGUAGUCGGUUGUGUACAUCCUCUGUGAAAUCGUUGCGCUCAACGUAACGGCAUGCGGAGGACACGGCACAGCUUGAGACCGGGAGGCGUGUGAGGUAUUCCGGGGGGACCGGUAAAAUGGUAUAAUCCCCGGAGGACCACCUGUGGCGAAGGCGUCACACGAGAACGGAUCUGACGAUGAGGGACGAAAGCCAGGGGAGCAAACCGGAUUAGAAACCCGCGUAGUCC